CCUACGGGAGGCAGCAGUGGGGAAUAUUGCUCAAUGGACGAAAGUCUGAAGCAGCCAUGCCGCGUGGAGGAUGAAGGCUUUCGGAUUGUAAAACUCUUUUUAUAGGGGAGAAAAUGUCGGUAUGUAUAGAAUUAGCAACGGCUAACACCGUGCAAGCAGCCGUGGUAAUACGGCGGGUGCAAGGGUUAUACGGAAUUAUUGGGCGUAAAGAGCGCGUAGGCGGGUUAGCAAGUCAGAUGUGAAAUCCUAUGGCUUAACCUUAGAACUGCAUUUGAAACUGUUAGGCUAGAGUAUAGGAGAGGUAGGUGGAAUUCAUGGUGUAGCGGUGAAAUGCUUAGAGAUCA
rnacentral:rRNA from 1 species